ACCUGGUUAUAUCUUGAGACAUUACCUGGUUAUAACCUAGUUAUAUCCUGAGACAUUACCUGGUUAUAACCUGGUUAUAACCUGGUUAUAUCGUGAGACAUUAC